AAGAAAACGCAUCUUGAAUGAAAGCCAAAACAUGUUUUUGAUUCAUGUGAUGCUACUUUUACAACUAGGAUUCCAUGAUGCUGUGAGUGCUGGAAUCCAGCGUGAGAUUCAGAAUGCAAGACUCCAACAGCCAUUUACUUUAAACUGUACCUACAACUGUUCAAGUGGCUUCACUCGUGGUUACUGGACAUGGGAAGACACUCCAGCUUGUAGCAAGUGCCAAUGGAAGCCCAGUGGGAGAUCAAAUUUAGGAGACAUGUGCACUGUGAGCUUGUACAUACCUUAUCUAAUUAUGGAGCAAACGCGUUAUAACUAUUCUUGCCUUGCUGAAGAGAGUGACCGUCCGGGCCUUCCUCGUAAAACAGAGCUUCUGGUAACACUGCAAGUUCACGAUGAAUCUGAAGAAAAAGUAACACCUCCUAAAGUACUAGCUGAUCCAUCUCUGAGAGUAAAGUUGUUAAGGGGUCAGGUGGAGUCGGAUGAAGUGCUUACAUCAUUAUCUACCAUCGAAGUGAUGGCAGGAACCUCACUCAAACUUCACUGUGUUGCCCUUGAUAACAAACACUGUGCGGUGCAGUGGAACAGAGAAAACAGUGCCCUCCCCCUGGAAAAAAUAAAUGACACCAUACUACAGUGGAGUGAAAUCAAAGCAGAGGAUAGUGGACAAUACAGGUGCCACACCAAAGGGACCUGCACUGACCAGGCUAUCACUGUGGAAAUAGAGGUCAUCACAUCGGAUGGAUUCGCCUGGGCCAAGAUCUUUGCAGCUUUUGCAGUGUCUGCAGUAGUUAUCCUGAUGGCCCAUCUGGUGUAUUUGUGCUACAGAAAAGGAUGUAAGAUCAUGCAUUCUGCUAACAGAUUCCAUGAAAGGGUUACAUCCAGAAGUGCUGCGCUGAUAAGGCCAAUCGCUCAAGACAGUCAGAGCGAAAAUGAAGUCCCUUAUGCUGAUAUUGUGAUCUCCGUGAGAGGAUCCAGCAAUCCGGAUCUAUCUGACACCUUAAACCAGACUUCAAAAAACCAAAGACCGAGAUGGAGGGACGAGGCCAGAGCAGGGCUACUGCAUGCUUCAGCUGACAGACUGCACAUCCACUCUAAAGAGGUCACUAGGAAAUUAAGCACAACGUCUGAAUAUGCUGUAAUUACUUACUCCUGUGAGGCUCUUAGUUAGUUACUUCAAAAACUGCAUAUCUGAUUAAAAAAUAGAAGGCAAAAUGUGAAAAUUGUAAAUAGCUGUCUGCAAUUAAAAAAUUCAAAACUUUUAAUGCAUGUGUGUUUGUUGCUUUUAUAGUCUUGAAGGAAAUACUUACUGCAUUACAUUUGCUUUGCAGCUCAUAAAAACAUUUUUACUGUGUCAGCUGCUUGCUGUUUUUGACCAGGAAGGUCUAUAUGACUUAAAAGAAUGGUUUAAGUAAUUUAUAGUAUGUGUCUGCAGUCCAAUUUCACAAUUGCAUAGGUUUUUUUUCUAAUAGUAAAAAAACACCUCAAACACCAGUUUAGACCUCUCUAAAUUAUUUUUUAUUUUUGUCAAUUUAAGGGGGAACAUGCCCCAAACCAGCCUAUAUACCUUGUUUGUUUACUUAUUACAGGGAGGCCUACUGUAGUACUGAUAAAAUGUUAGAAAUUCCUUGCAAUUUGUUCACACUUCACACAUUCAGCGAGAUUUGGACUCUGAAAGGUGGUUAUUUAUAUGGCCUAAAACAUUAUCAUAUUUACCAUGUUCACCUAUACUUCUGUAUAUUGUUACUGUUUUGAAAAACUGUCUUUACCUGCAGUAGGCUAUCGGCAGCACACGAAGGUGUUGAACUGUAUCAUUGACAAACGACAGGGUUGCAUUUGCAGGCGUGGUUUUAAUUGAUUUAUUUUUUUUUAAUACCUUUUUGUUAUUUGUUAUUUAGUAUUAGCCUAUAUCCCAUUACUAUUUUAAACAGCGUCUCAAUGCGUGAGAAUUUUUAGAAUGAUUCAAACUGGAUCGUGAAUCGUUUGACCGAUUGACUCACGAUUCGCGACGCGGGCAUCGCCGAAUUGCAAAGAACUGACAGAAGACACGAGAUGUUUUAAUAAAUAUUGUGAGCGUAAAUGUUUCUCCGGUCGG
ensembl:lncRNA